CUACGGGGCGCAGCAGUGAGGAAUAUUGCACAAUGGGGGGAACCCUGAUGCAGCAACGCCGCGUGGAGGAUGACGCAUUUCGGUGUGUAAACUCCUUUUAUAUGUCAAGAAAAUGACGGUAGCAUAUGAAUAAGCACCGGCUAACUCCGUGCCAGCAGCCGCGGUAAUACGGAGGGUGCAAGCAUUACUCGGAAUCACUGGGCGUAAAGGACGCGUAGGCGGGUUGGAAAGUCAGGUGUGAAAUCCUACAGCUUAACUGUAGAACUGCACUUGAAACUUCUAAUCUAGAGUAUGGGAGGGGGAGAUGGAAUUAGUGGUGUAGGGGUAAAAUCCGUAGAUAUCACUAGGAAUACCUAAAGCGAAGGCGAUCUCCUGGAACAUUACUGACGCUAAGGCGUGAAAGCGUGGGGAGCAAACAGGAUUAAUACCCCGGUAGUC
rnacentral:rRNA from 1 species